AUUGAACGCUGGCGGCAUGCCUAACACAUGCAAGUCGAACGGUAACAGAACUAGCUUGCUAGUUGCUGACGAGUGGCGGACGGGUGAGUAAUGUAUAGGGAUCUGCCUAGUAGUGGGGGACAACAUGUGGAAACGCAUGCUAAUACCGCAUACGCUCUACGGAGGAAAGUGGGGGACCUUUCGGGGCCUCAUGCUACUAGAUGAACCUAUAUUGGAUUAGCUAGUUGGUAAGGUAAUGGCUUACCAAGGCGACGAUCCAUAGCUGGUUUGAGAGAAUGAUCAGCCACACUGGGACUGAGACACGGCCCAGACUCCUACGGGAGGCAGCAGUGGGGAAUAUUGCACAAUGGGCGCAAGCCUGAUGCAGCAAUGCCGCGUGUGUGAAGAAGGCCUUAGGGUUGUAAAGCACUUUCAGACGUGAGGAAAAGUUAUAAGUUAAUAACUUAUAACCUUGACGUUAACGUCAGAAGAAGGACCGGCUAACUCCGUGCCAGCAGCCGCGGUAAUACGGAGGGUCCAAGCGUUAAUCGGAAUUACUGGGCGUAAAGCGCGCGUAGGCGGAUAUUUAAGUCAGAUGUGAAAUCCCUGGGCUCAACCUAGGAACUGCAUUUGAUACUGGGUAUCUAGAGUAUGGUAGAGGUGAGUGGAAUUUCAGGUGUAGCGGUGAAAUGCGUAGAGAUCUGAAGGAACAUCAGUGGCGAAAGCGACUCACUGGGCCAUUACUGACGCUGAGGUGCGAAAGCGUGGGUAGCAAACAGGAUUAGAUACCCUGGUAGUCCACGCCCUAAACGAUGUCAACUAGGUGUAUGGGAGUUUAACUCCUGUGUAUCGAAGCUAACGCGAUAAGUU
rnacentral:rRNA from 1 species